rnacentral:rRNA from 1 species
UACGGAGGAUGCAAGCGUUAUCCGGAAUGAUUGGGCGUAAAGCGUCCGCAGGUGGCUAUGUAAGUCUGCUGUUAAAGAGUGAGGCUCAACCUCAUAAGAGCAGUGGAAACUACAUGGCUAGAGUGCGUUCGGGGCAGAGGGAAUUCCUGGUGUAGCGGUGAAAUGCGUAGAGAUCGGGAAGAACAUCGGUGGCGAAAGCGCUCUACUGGACCGCAACUGACACUGAGGGACGAAAGCUAGGGGAGCGAAUGGG